rnacentral:rRNA from 1 species
GAAUACCCGCUGAACUUAAGCAUA